rnacentral:tRNA from 1 species
GGUUGUGGCUCAGUGGUAGAGUGUUUACCUAGCAUGCAUGAGGCACUGGGUUCGAUCCUCAGCACCA